rnacentral:rRNA from 1 species
UGGGGAAUAUUGCGCAAUGGGGGAAACCCUGACGCAGCAACGCCGCGUGAGCGAUGAAGGUUUUCGGAUCGUAAAGCUCUGUCUUUGGGGAAGAUAAUGACGGUACCCAAGGAGGAAGCUCCGGCUAACUACGUGCCAGCAGCCGCGGUAAUACGUAGGGAGCAAGCGUUGUCCGGAUUCACUGGGCGUAAAGGGAGCGUAGACGGAGCAGCAAGUCUGAUGUGAAAGGCAGGGGCUCAACCCCUGGACUGCAUUGGAAACUGUUGGUCUUGAGUACCGGAGGGGUAAGCGGAAUUCCUAGUGUAGCGGUGAAAUGCGUAGAUAUUAGGAGGAACACCAGUGGCGAAGGCGGCUUACUGGACGGUAACUGACGUUGAGGCUCGAAAGCGUGGGGAGCAAACAGGAUUAGAUACC